rnacentral:lncRNA from 1 species
GCCUGGGCUAUGGGAUGGAAAUCCUGUGAAAUCAGAUUGUUAUGAUCAUUGUACAACUACAGAUGUGAUAAAUUCAUUUGAGUAAUAAAAAAAAUGAAAAAAUGAAAAAAAAAUAAAUAAAAAAUAAAAAAUUUUGUUCACUAUUUGAAAUGACUGGAAUGCUAAUCAAAAAAGUGGAAGAUUGAAAGUUAAAGUCCUUCUUGAACUGCAAGAAAAUAAGAUCAACCUUGGAAAUUGUAGUGAAAUUUAUCAACAAAUGUAUAUUAAUCUCAGUUACCACCUUCUUUGCAUGAGUUAAAUAAAGAUGGGCUUAAAGACAUAUUUGGAAAUAUACUUUGAGUAUGAUGAUUAGAUUUAAAGAUCUGUAUCAUUCAUACACAUGUGAUUAUGUAAAAAUAUCAGCCAAAAUUUGCAGAAUAACAUAGGUAGAUAAGAUGCCUAUUUAUAAACCAUUGUAUAAUUUGUAUCAGUGUGAUUUAGGUUUUUCUAUCUACAGUUCAAACUUUUAUAUCCACUUGUUUGGAAAGAAGAUAUAAUUCUUUUAAUAGCAUCUCCAACUACAUAUUUGUUUGAAAAAGGUUUUGAUGUACCACUGCAGUUACUGCAAAGAUGAACAAGAGGUAAACUGCUAACGUGUAAAGGAGAUGUGACAUUCCUUUAAAUUUAGAACUAAAUUAGCAUAGGCAUUGACUUAGCAAGGAUCUUAGUUUUGUCAUACAAUUUUUAAAUAAAGUGCCGCUUAAAAUUUAGUUGUCUAGGAAAUCUGUGAUGUGAGCUCCCAGCAGGGAGAUGAGCAAAUUGUGAUCCAGGAAGAGAGGAGCUGAGAGCCUGGCGGUUGCUAAAUGGAUUGGAAGGCGCUUCAUUGAGGCCUGGGGAGGCUUCUUGCUUGUUGAGGGCUUCUGGCCCUCACGUGGGAAGGUCUGGUGCCCCUGGUCUGGGAAAAGAAGACCUGCAGACACUGCCCGCUGGAAAGAGCCGCUGCUGGGAGUGGGUAAGAAAGUUCCCUCCCCAUUCUGCCUCAGCCUGGACCGCUGGAGCAGGGUCGUUGGCUGCAGACCAUGUCACAGCUCAGACUCCCACAGCAGUAGCUUCUGAAGCUCUGCUCUCAUUGUCACCACCUGUGUCUGGCUUGGAGAGGCGGAAGGUUGACUAUGAAGGAGCUUUGAAGGGAUUCCUGCUCAGGCCGGCCAGUUGCCUUUCUUGGUGUCCGUCUGUUGUUGCCCAGCUAGAGACCACAAAAGCUUGA